GGGCGUGUGGCUCAGUUGGUAGAGCGUUCGCUUAGCAUAACUUCCCUUCUGCGAAAGGUCCUGGGUUCGAUUCCCAGCUCGUCCA